rnacentral:rRNA from 1 species
GAACGAGAAAGUGGAGCAAUCCAUGAGUAAAGUGGCGACCGGGUGAGUAACACGUGACUAACCUACCUCCGAGUGGGGAAUAACUCCGGGAAACCGGGGCUAAUACCGCAUAACAUCGCAAGAUCAAAGCAGCAAUGCGCUUGGAGAGGGGGUCGCGGCUGAUUAGCUAGUUGGUAGGGUAAUGGCCUACCAAGGCGAAGAUCGGUAUCCGGCCUGAGAGGGCGCACGGACACGCUGGAACUGAAACACGGUCCAGACUCCUACGGGAGGCAGCAGUGGGGAAUUUUGCGCAAUGGGGGAAACCCUGACGCAGCAACGCCGCGUGGAGGAUGAAGUCCUUUGGGACGUAAACUCCUUUCGACCGGGACGAUAAUGACGGUACCGGUGGAAGAAGCCCCGGCUAACUUCGUG